CAUUUUAUCUUAUUAUUAUUAUUAUUAUUAUUAUUAUUAUUAUUAUUUUCCUAAUUUAAAACCCACAAUCCUUCUUCUCUUCGCUCAAAUUCUGCCAGUCGAAGCUUCUAGAGCAGUGUGAAGAGGGGUACGAAUCAGGUGCUCCACGCAUCAAACAACUGUGAAACUCCAUGGUGGAAGACCCUUUUCGGUAAAAUCGAUUUCAAAGAGAGAAACGAGUGUGAGGAGAGAGAAAUGGCUGCUUGUCUUCAAGAUUCGAAGGAGAAGUGUGGGCAAUUUUCCAAGGGGAAGUGUUAUGGCCCGUUUGGGUCGGCACGGAUUGUUGAUAGAAAGAUAAAGUUGAGAAAAAAGGAGGUGGGUGAGUUGAUUUCUUGGGUCUCGGGUUUGAGUCUUUUGAAUGGGAAUUUUGGGUUGAAUUGUUGGCUGGUAAUUAUGGGGUUGCUUUCCGAGUUGAAUUUGAGCUAUGAAGUUAUUAAUAUUAGAGGUUCCGAGCUAUUGGGAGAUAGAAGUCAACCCAAUUGAUGUUACUUGUAUUACAUUUUUAAUUUAAAUUAUUAUGGAGUAUGGAUAACUAGAAAGGGAAAUUAUGUACACGAGAUUUAUCCUAGGUGUUGUGCAUAAAGCCAUAAAGAGCAAUGAUGAUAGAACUUGACUUAUCUCAUAUUUUGGGUUGAAACUUACUUGGUGGUGAAGAUGAAUUUUAUCUGGUUUGUACUUGGAAACAUUGUUAAAGAUAUGAGUAGUUUUCCAGGUGUGUAAGUGACAUUAUCAGCAUAUUCUAUUUUCUAAGUAUUGUCAAUUUUGCUUUAAUUUUUUUCUUUUCCUGUUUUCUUUGCAAUUUAUAUAUCCGAAUAGUUAGAUUGGUAGGCUGAAUUAUGUUCUUUAGGUUAUCCAUGGGCAUGAUGUGUGCAGAUUAUUAAAAUUUGAAUCUUAGUAGAUUGAUGCAUAGCAAGGUCUCAUGGUGGUAUUUGAGAAUUAUAGAUAUGACAAUAUCAGCCCCUGGUGAUGCUAAAGGUAUGGUGAUAUAGCUGCUCCAUAGAUUACAGGUUGGCAAGUCCUGAAUGACAAUGACAAAUAUCUUAUAACUGCAUCUGAUGGUGUUUUUGAGGGGCUAGACUCAAAGGAUGUCUGUGAUUUGUUGUGGGAAGUGCAGAAUGGUGACCUAUUCUAGCCUGCUGAGAUUCUUUAGCUGAUUACAUAAUAAGCACAACCUCUCUAAAAUGGUAAGUAUGCUACUCGUAUUUAUUAAGGAAUUUGAUUUAAAUCUUGGAAAUCCGGUCAAGCAACCAAAGCCGGGGACCUAGGUGAGAAUAGUGAAAGAAAGAGAAGAAGUGGGGUAGAGUAAUUGGAAGACUCAUUAGGCUCAUUCCCUGAAGAUUGCAGGUUCGUAUCCUGCCCCCGCCUAAGAACUCUUUUUUCAUUUUAGGUAGUAUGAUAGGAGAAUAGAGAAUCAGUGGAGAUGCAAAUAUAUGUUGUGCAUAAUUUUGUCUCCUUUGAUCCUGCAAUCUUUUAUCUCUAUCUCUGUUUGAAUAUGUCUAAGAUUUAAGUAUGAAACAUAACUAGAUAAUUAACAUGAGAAAGUGUUAAUUAUUACCUACUGAGAAAGUAUGGCCAGUGUAUUGAUUUAUUGAGUUGGCUUCUCAAUAUUAGAAUCAUUACAGGUCCUCUUAAAGAUUUUUUCAACCUUGUAAUUAAAAAUAAUUGGGCUUACAUGUCUUGGUUUUGGAGCUUUCAUUGAAUUUCUCCGUGUAGCAAUUUAUUUAUUUAUUUAUUUUUUUAGCAUGGUGGUUGCUUCCUGUUCACCUAUGCAUUUGCCAAUUUGUAACUUCUGACAAUUUUUCUGACCUAUUUUGCUAAAAAAUUUAUAAGUAUAGUGAGAUUUACCCAUUGCAUUGUAAUGAACCAGACCAGCCAAGCCAAGUCUCCUGUGAUCGUCACAUGUCAGAAAAAGAAAGAAGGAAGGCCGAUACCAUGGCACCAUCACACUAGCAGGUCAGGAGUGCAAAACAAGACCAGGGCAACUCUAAUUACUAGUUGUUCAAGAAGAUAAGGACAACCACCAAAACGUUUUUGCUACUUAUGUAUUUAUAAGAAAGAAGGAUGAGAGAUUAAGGUAGGCAAUUGUUGAGAGAGAGUAUCCUAGGAGAGUAGUGGGCUAAACCCACCAAAGAGACUUGCUUCCUAAAGCAGCUACUUGUAUAAACCCUGUUCCUGAAAAUCAAGGUACAACCCCUUGCUUUAA